rnacentral:lncRNA from 1 species
AUUGCUUGAACCCAGGAUGCAGAGGUUGCAGUGAGCCAAGUUCGUGCCAUUGCACUCCAGCCUGGGUGACAAGGGUGAAACUCCAAAACUCCAUCUCAAAAAAAAAAAUGGUUAAGAUGGUAAAUCUUAUGCAUAUUUAACACAAAAGGUCAGCUCCUACCCUUGUUAAACCUCUCCUGGUCACCCUUACCCUCACUGGGUAAGGUGACUUCUGCAGCCUCUUCUCGAUUGGGGGGCAUGCCUGUGGAACAGAAGUUCUCACACACCUCACUUGUAAUGGUGGACUUGUCUUUUUUUCUGUAGACUGUGAGCUUCUUGAGGGAGUAUUUCUAUGUUUUGCUUUGAGUCCCAGGUGUUUAACACGAUAACUGUCUCUAUUUGUUGACUAAUUGACUGAAAAAAGUGAAACUUGAUUUUGUGACUUUUUUAUGUUCUAUAUACUACACAAGGACUUACUGUUUUAUGUUUUAAGCGCAUCUGAUUAUUUUGGAUUGUAAGGUUCUCAAAGUACAUCGGCCACAACUGUGAGUAUUUUCAUAACUCAGAAAUUAUUACAGUAUUCUAGUGAGUCCACUGAGUGUGCUCAAUACUGAUGAGAUAGCUGUCUUUUGUAGGUAGGGAGAUAUGGGAAAGUUACAGUUAGUUUCAGCUGGUAGCAGGAGAAAAACAGCUUGUUUGGACAUAGCCAGCAUUUAACAAGGAUCUUUAGUUUUCACUGCAACUAUUUGGGAAACUUAGUCAAUGGAUACUUAAAAUAGGAAGUAAUUGAUUCUCCACUAAUUUAUUCCAACAGUCAAUUAUUAAUCAACAAAUAUUUACUGAACGCCUACAGUGCACCACCGUUGGGCAUGAAAUGGUGAAUCCAGUCCGAUGGAGUCUUUUCCCCCAUGGUUAAACAUUAAGAACGACGCCGUGUCUCUCUCCAAGAUGCCAAGGAUACAUUUAUUUUUAUUCUAAUUACUUUUAACAAAGUUAAAAAAUGAGAUUUAGAAUUUCUCUAACACUGAGGCUCAGAAAGAUCAUCUUGUUUAAGAUCACGUCAUCCAUGAUCUUGAUGUCUGUUUACGAUCACAUGAUCCGUGAACUUGACGUCAUCAGGGCAGCCGUGAGCGCCGCUCUUCUGGGUGACACUGGCCCAUCUUCAGCAGCUCAUUAACAAGAAGCAGCCCCACGGAGUGCCUGCCAAACAAUCUUAAGAUGACUUUAUAGUUUAAAAAUGCAUUUCAAUCAUUUUUAUUGGCCAUUUUGUAUAACACCCUGACUGGUCUUUGGCAAUAUUAUCAUGGAUUUUUUUGUUUGUUUGUUUUUCCUUUUGGUUUUUGAGAUGGAUUCUUGCUCUGUCACCCAGGCUGGAGUGCAGGGACGUGAUCUCAGCUCACUGCAACCUCCACCUUUCGCGUUCCGGUGAUUCUCCUGCCUCAGCCUCCCGAGUAGGUGGGACUAUAGGCACUCACCACAACGCCCGGCUAAUUUUUUUGUAUUUUUAGUAGAGGCGGGGUUUCGCCAUGUUGGCCAGGCUGGUCUCAAACUCCUGACCUCAGGUGAUCCACCCGCCUUGGCCUCCCAAAUUAUCAUCAUUUUAAGGCGAUGCAGAAACAAGUGUUUGUGCAAAACUGGGACGAGGUGGGAGAGAAACAAGAGAAUGUUUUUCAGUGAUCCUAGGCCCUCUAGAGCACCCCUGAUAGAGCUGAGGUCAGAAAUCAUAGUGAGCAGGCAGCUUCUUCAGCGCUUCUGUUUCCCAGGCUUGGCCUCAUGAUGGACAGGAUCUCCCUCUCCAGGAUGCGCUUGAUUGCAGCUCAAUAACACCAGAGACUCUAGCUUGGAGUCCUUGCUGUUUUAAAGGUAUCCUAGUUUUCAUCAUCAGUAGAAAGGAGUACUAUAUUUUGGCACGGUGAGGAUUUUGUACACAAACAGUUAAAUCACUUAUCUAGUCACUAUUUCGUUAAUAUUAGAUGUUUUGGUCUAUUCUUGCAUUGCUAUAAAGAAAUGCCUGAGACUGAGUAAUUUACAAAGAAAAGAGGUUUAAUUGGCUCAUGGUUCUGCUGGCAAGUGGCUGCAUAGUGUCUUCUAUUUCUGGGGUGGCCUCAGGGAGCUUUUACUCAUGGCACAAGGCAAAGUGGGAAGAGGCAUGUCACAUGGCGGGAGCAGGAUGGAGCGAGAGAGAGAGGAAGCAGGUGCCACACACUUUUAAACAACCAGAUCUAGUGAGAACACACUCACUGGACAGAACCAAGGGGGGAUGGUUCUAAACCAUUCACGAGAACUUCACCCCCACAAUCCAGUCACCUCCCACCAGGCCCUACUUCCAACACUGGGGAUUACAAUUUGACAUGAGAUUUGUUGAGGACACAAAGCCAAAUGAUAUCCUUAGAAUACACAACAUGGUGUUUUCACAUGGGAACUGGUGGCAUUUGGGCAACUUUCUGUAAGUGUUGCUACUUACUGCUCCUCUCAGUCUGCACUCCUGACUCCAUCUUGCUGUAGGUACCUAACCUUAACAAUACGGAAAGGAGCCUCCUACCUGGAACUGCAUAAAGGAAACAAAAAAUAGAUGUGUCCAAGCUAUGACAUGAAUUACUGGCACACAACAAAUAACCAAAUUAAAUGACACCCUGUUACAGCUCUUAUGGCUGGAAUCACAAGAAAAGGUCAUCAAUUCGCUCAAGUCAAAAAAGGGAAUGUAUUGGUGUUGAUAACUACAAAGUCCAGUAGCAGUCUUAGCAUUAAGCAAGGCUGGAUUCCAGAGCUUAAAUUAUCCUCUGGUUCUUGCAAAGAUUGACAUCAACUACUUUGGGUUACUUGGUCCUUGCCUUUAGCCAAAGGAGAGAAAUAGCUUCCUGAGUAGCUCUGGUUGGUCCAGCUCGGACCUUGCCUUUCCUUCCCUGAGCCAGUCUCUGGAACCAAAGGAAUAAUGCACUCUGACUGGACAGUCUGCAUCUGAUAGAGACAAAACAAGGCCACCUAGGGAAGAGGCAGUUCCAGACUGGGGAAGAUUCUGGGAAAAAAAAAAGAUAUCUACAAUACUAUGUGUAUAAACUCACCCACAAAAAUCCUAGUAGCACUAACACUGUCUUAAUUUCUCCAUUAGGAAUCAGAAAAACCUUUAAUGAAGAGUGACGGAGAGAAUGGCCUGUGAUUGGAUUGUGAGCCUGUUUCUGCCACCAGGCAGCCCCUCUGCAGGCAUCUCCCUCCCACCUGACCCGUGGUCUGUGCGAGUGCAAGUUAAAAGGGUCAUUUCCUUGCCUCAGAGCUGAUCUCAGCCUUAGAUACUUUCCAGUUUCUCUGCUACCUGUCAUUCAGUCUUUUGAAGUACAGCAUUAAUUUUAACUGUGAUUUCAUUGCAAAAACAAAUUUGCCAAUGGAAUGCUAUUCGUGUCAUUUAUUUCCCCAGAUCUUCCUAUGAGCUCAUCUCUCUCAUUCAAUUGUCUCUACUCCAAUGUCACUUCCUUGGCUGAAGGAAAAAUCAGUCCUCAUUCCACACACUGCAACCUUGCCUUAGUUGAUUUACAGCACAUAUCGUAUCAUAACCUGACCACAACUACCUCUUGCUUAACUGUUUAUUUUUUCGCUCUCCUCCCAGAAUAUAUCCUAAGACAAAGAAUUGCAUAUUGGCAUCGUAGUUUCCAAUCUAAGCACAUGCGCAAGGGAACUCAGUCUUCCUAGAAAAUCUCCAUAAUAAUAUCAUCAUCCCUGGAUACGGAAACGAAGGCUGAAAGAGAGAAGAGGACGUGGUUUCCUGAUAGCAGAGUUCAGGGUGGAAACUCCAGAUCCAGCUUUCUGCCUGUGACGAUUCUGGUGGAUGUGAGCCUUGGGUGCUGCCUCUGACACCUGCUGUGCACGGCAGCCAGAGACCGCGUCCAGAAUGCAGGCAGUUUGUCUCCCACAACGUGACAGGUGGUGCCGGCCUAAGCUAUGAUCCGCUAACAAAAUAGGGCUAUGAGCCCUCUGCCUUUCAGAGCAGGCGGGGAACAUUCCUGCAAUGCUAUGGGUUGGGUGUGUGAGUUUUUUCUUGAAGAACGUAAUUAGAAAGGGGGGUUCUAUGUGUCAUGUAUAAAAUACCGAUGGGCCAGCCACAGAGAACGCUGUAGGCUUUGACAGACAAGACAGGGUGUCUUUACCAGCAAAUGGACACCAUGCCACAUCAUCCUUAAUGAAAUACGUGCACUUUAGUGAGACAAAAAUGCAUCCGUAGCUCUGCCUGCCUCCUCACGAUCCUUCUCCAGCUAUAAGGACAUCAAAUAAACCAUUUAGACAGAGGGCCCUUUAAUGAGUUUCUCAGCGGCAGUGAAUCAAGUCAGAAAGGUAAUUCAACCCUCACUCCCAAGGUACAAGGGAAGGCAAGAAAAACUGUUUCUUUAGAUUCCAUUCUGUCCACAGAACCAUUCAUCAAUUUCCUUCGAGAGUCUGAAUCAAUCCCAGCAGGACCGCUUGCCAAAAAGAACGCUCUGUGGAGACACAAGCCCCAGCUUGUGUUUGCUCUCUGGGUCUCUUCCCUCCUCUUUCUUCCUCCGGGUGGCAGGAGGGCACCGUGGCAACACAGGAGGCAUGACCUACAACAGGCCCCCGAGCUCCUGGGGCCCCUGCAUGCCCUGUCGUAGGUUUCUGAGUACUCAUUCUCAUGGGCUGCUUGCCCAUUAGCUGAUGUCACUUAAAUAACUGCUUUGCCAGAGCUGGCUUGUGUAGGACUCAUCUGAGGUCCUUACCAACAGAAGGAAUAAGGAAUUCACAUGGAAAGUUGGCCUCACCCUGCUCUUCCCUCAUCAAUGGAAUAAUCUGAAAUGUGCAGAUUACCAAUGCUUCCAGAGGCACCGAACUCAAUGGUUUGGCUUGGCUUUGUGCUUCAGUCCACACAGAUGGCAGGAGCAACUUAGAGGUGGGAGAGAUACUUAGAGAGCAGCGACUCAAAUAUUUUCAUUUGAUUGCUUUAAAAAAAUGAGGCUUUGAGAGGUGAAGUAUUAACCUCUUGCCCACCAUUAUACCACUGCAGAGAAAAAUCAAUUCACCUGAAGUCAGGGCUCUGUCCAAAAGAGGACCCACAGUUUCUGAGUCCCUCACUGGUUUGAGCAUGUGUCUUUUACCACAUGGAGAUUUUUAGACAUUGUGUGCUUUGUAGGGUUUACUCAUUUUAAUUAAAAAAAAAAACAAAAAACCCUUUCAUGUUGUGCAGCUCAUCGUCGAAAUGCUAGGCAACACGCCGAAUGUUUUAUUACAAACCAGCAUUCCCUGCAGAAAAGUCUUAUUUUGAUUAAUCUUCAGCACUUACAGCUCCUUUCUGCCAAUCAAAGUUUCCAUCACGCACAGGGUGCUGUUGUAGAGACCAAGUUGACAUGUUGAGGCAGCCCAGAACAACUUUAGAGAGGAGAGGGAGGACUUUUCCUGUCUCUUUUGAUAAGGGAAAUAGUAUGUUUUAAAGACACCUUUGUGGAAUCCUUCUUCCCUUAGAGUAGAUUGAAAGACUCUCACUUUAAAAUAGCCACCCCAGUGGAGUAAAAAAGAUGCUGAGUUCUCGUUCUCAUGAAUAUACUGCUGAUUAGAAGAACAAGAUGUUGACAAACCCAGCCCAGAUAGGUCUAUAAAGCUUGAAAGAAUUUACUGAAUAGGCUGGGCGUGGGGGCUCAAGCCUGUAAUCCCAGCACUUUGGGAGGCUGAGGCAGGUGGAUCACGAGGCCAGGAGUUUGAGACCAGCCUGGCCAACAUGGCAAAACCCUGUCUCUACUAAAAACACAAAAAUUAGCUGGACCUGGUGGUGUACGCCUGUAAUCCCAGCUACUUGGGAGGCUGAGGCAGGAGAAUUGCUUGAACCUGGGAGGCGGAGGUUGCAGUGAGCCAAGAUCAAGCCAUUGCACUCCAGCCUGGGCAACAGAGUGACUCUGUCUUGGAAAACUAAAUAAAUAAAAUAAAAUAAAUGAAACACAAUAUUUAUCCAUUAGCAUCUGUUUGUAGGUGUGUAGUAAAAUAUCGGUUAACAUUAAUUUCAUAUUGAAAUUUCAGAAGCCUUUUGAGAUUGCUAUUAAAUCAUUUAAAGCAGCUCCUCUUUUCUUGGUAAAACCCUUUCAUUUGAAGUGUCUGCUAUUACAUUAUUGGACCUAGAUUUCAU